UACGUAGGGUGCAAGCGUUGUCCGGAAUUAUUGGGCGUAAAGAGCUCGUAGGCGGCUUGUCACGUCGAUUGUGAAAGCCCCGAGGCUUAACCUCGGGUCUGCAGUCGAUACGGGCUAGCUAGAGUGUGGUAGGGGAGAUCGGAAUUCCUGGUGUAGCGGUGAAAUGCGCAGAUAUCAGGAGGAACACCGGUGGCGAAGGCGGAUCUCUGGGCCAUUACUGACGCUGAGGAGCGAAAGCGUGGGGAGCGAACAGG
rnacentral:rRNA from 1 species